GCCCAACCAUAAACCUUGAUGAUAAAAUACAAAUAUCAUUCGCCAGGGAACUACAAGCGCAUCGCUCGAAACCCAACGGACUUGGCGGUGCCCCACACCCACCUAGAGGAGCCUGUUCUAUAACUGACAAUCCCCAUUCAACCUCACCACCCCUAGCCUCCCCAGUCUAUAUACCACCGUCGUAAGCUCACCCUGUGAAGGACUAACAGUAAGCAAGAUGGGCACAACCCAAAACGUCAGGUCGAGGUGUAGCACAUGGGGUGGGAAGAAAUGGGCUACAUUUUCUGCCCACAGAAUAUCACGGACAACGUUAUGAAACCGCCGUUCAAAGGAGGAUUUAGCAGUAAAAAGAAAACAGAGAGUUCUUUUGAAGCCGGCCCUGGGGCGCGC
rnacentral:rRNA from 1 species